UACGUAGGGUGCAAGCGUUGUCCGGAAUUAUUGGGCGUAAAGAGCUCGUAGGCGGUCUGUCGCGUCUGCUGUGAAAACCCGGGGCUCAACCCCGGGCUUGCAGUGGAUACGGGCAGACUAGAGUUCGGUAGGGGAGACUGGGAUUCCUGGUGUAGCGGUGAAAUGCGCAGAUAUCAGGAGGAACACCGGUGGCGAAGGCGGGUCUCUGGGCCGAUACUGACGCUGAGGAGCGAAAGCGUGGGGAGCGAACAGG
rnacentral:rRNA from 1 species